rnacentral:rRNA from 1 species
GGCGUUAAAGGGGCACGUUAGGCGGAUGUUAAGUCAGGGUGAAAUCCCCGGGCUCCAUUUGGGAACUGCCUUUGAUACUGGCAAGCUUGAGUCUCGUAUAGGGGGGUGGAAUUCCAAGUGUAGCGGUGAAAUGCGUAGAUAUCUGGAGGAAUACCGGUGGCGAAGGCGGCCCCCUGGACGAAUACUGACGCUCAGGUGCGAAAGCGUGGGGAGCAAACAGGAUUAGAUACCCUGGUAGUCCACGCCGUAAACGAUGUCGACUUGGAGGUUGUGCCCUUGAGGCGUGGCUUCCGGAGCUAACGCUUUAAGUCUACCGCCGGGGGAGUACGGCCCCAAGGUUAAAAUUAAAAUGAGUUGACGGGGGCCCCCACAAGCGGUGAAGCUGGUGGUUUAAUUCGAUGCACCGCGAAAAACCUUCCCUGGCCUUAACAUCCAGAGAACUUAGCAGAAAUGCUUUGGUGCCUUCGGGGACUCUGCGACAAGUGCUGCUUGGCUGUCGUCAGCUCGUGUUGUGAUAUGUUGGGUUGAGUCCUGCAACAAGCGCCAACCCUUAUCCUUUGUUGCCAGCGGCUCGGCCGUGAACUCAAAGGAGACUGUCGGUGAUAAACGGGGAGGAGGGAGGGGAUGACGUCACACAUCAUGGCCGUCACGGCCGGUCUGCU